rnacentral:tRNA from 1 species
AGUAAUAUGGCUGAGGAUAGGCGGUAAACUGUAAAUUUACUAACGAAUUAAUUAAUUCUUUUACUA